CAGGGCCAAAUCUGGGACAUGGCUUUAAAACUGUAAUGACCAAAUUAUAGCAAAUGGUCAAAAUUAAACACUCCGGCCCUCGCUGAAUGUGCAAGUUCAAGCAUUGAGGAAAUAAGUGUGUUGCAGAUUGCUUUGUCUACCGAUUUAUUUGAAUGAAUUCUCAGGGUGUUUUUUGAAGCAGUUUUUAGUAUAUUCAGAGAUACUGUACAGAUAGAGACACGUAAGAACAUAAAAAUACCGAUGUACGCAGCCAAGCACAAGCAGCUUAUAUGCUUCUAAAUCCAGAAGGGACCAUAAUAACCAAGUGUUCAGUAUCGGUUGUUAGAAGCCCAGGCAAAGAUAAAACUCCAAUAAAAGUACAUUCUUUUAUGUUCAGUGUUAAAGGAAAAGCAAUGUAAAACAAGGAUUUAUGUCAGAGGGAGCAGGCAGAGGAAUAUAGGCCCUUUAAUAACCUGGUGCUGCAGGAAAGGGAGCAAGCUCCAGUGAGGUUUCUCUGGCAGCAGAAAAGGCCUGAGGAACCUGGCUCUUUCAGAGUGGAGCUAAAGUCUUGAAUCUGGGUAAAGAGCACAGGGAUGCUCAGCAGAUUGCCUCAUUGCUGAUGAGAGAUGUAAUCCUCCAAGAACUUUCAGGAUUCUGUGAAGAAGCUGUUGAAGUAAGUAAGCCAAGAGACUUGGGAUCUAAUCCUGCCAUCCUUUGCACUUAAGUUCCUUCAUCCAAGGUCUCCAGUUGCGGAGUAGCUUCACUGCAUUGACACAUCAAAAAAUCUUCCAUGAAAUUGGAAAUGACAAGGUUGCCGAGAUACCGAAAGCUAACUGUUUAUGGAUUUUCAAGUCUCAUGUUGCCUAUCACUUGCAGCGUGUGGAAAAUUAUCUGAAGAAGUGGAAAUGAAACCAUGCUUUAAUGAGAUGACAUGCUACUUCACCACUAAUAAUCUCAAUGGGAAAGCAAAUACUAGGCCUACUGGCUACAAGUUACUAUUUUCUGCAGUUCUAAAAAUUGCUUUUUCUGAUAAACAGGUACCAUUAAUGUUCCACCAGCACCCGUAAUGAAACUGUGCGUAGUUUUGCUGUGUUUUUAUCUUUGAUUUAGACUGCGAACCAUAUGUAACAUUUGGAAAGAAAAAUUCCCCUUUCUCCAUGAGAAGCCCUGACAUGUGGCACUCAUUUAGGCAAAGAAUUCAUGCAGAGACAUGGAGAGGUCCUUAUGAUUUUUCAUUUCAGUUAUGAAAUAUGCCAUUUUUGUUAAGCAAUCUCAUGCCUGGAGAAUCUCCUUCUUAUUUGUCUAACUUAGUCCCUUCCAAAGUGAAGACAUCUUUCUCCAGUGUACGUGAAGAAAGGAGACAUUCAUGGCUGAAUGAGGUGUAAGGAACAUGGGACAAAUGUAUUUUACUCAGUGAAGAAAUUAAAAAAAUCAUAUUCCAGUCUGUAAAAAUGACCCGCCCUAUCAGGUAAAUUUGUCUUCAUGUCCUCAGAAUUAUCACGAUUAGAAACAUACAUGUUCAUCCAAAAUCCCAUUGUUUUCCCAGUGCUAUGAUCAGAUCAGUCAUUCAAACAGCUCAUCAUAUAAUUUAAGGAUAGCUUGAUCCUGCUAUUUCCCCACUCUUCCUGCAGCCAUAUCGUGUUAUACAUGUGUAGACUGAAGAGCUCACUCAUCAAAGACUAAAUCCCAUAUUUCAUAAUACGAAAGCCAAGAAAGAAUAAAG
rnacentral:lncRNA from 1 species